UACAGAGGAGCCAAGCGUUGUCCGGAUUGACUGGGCGUAAAGCGCACGCAGGCGGUUGCGCGCGUGGGGUGUGAAAUCUGGCCGCUUAACGGCCAGGCGCCAUCCCAUACGGCGCGACUGGAGUGAUGCAGAGGUCGAUGGAAUUGCCGGUGUAGUGGUGAAAUGCGCAGAUAUCGGGAAGAACACCCGUGGCGAAGGCGGCUCACUGGACCGGAACUGACGCUGAGGCGCGAAAGCGUGGGGAGCAAACGGG
rnacentral:rRNA from 1 species